rnacentral:rRNA from 1 species
UACGAGAUGCUCAGGAGUCUCGUGGGCUCGGAGAUGUGUAUAAGAGACAGAUCCUAAGGCCAGCGAGAGAACUGUUGUUAAGGAACUCGGCAAAAUGACCCCGUAACUUAGGGAUAAGGGGUGCCACCAUCAGGUGGCCGCAGAGAAUAGGCCCAAGCGACUGUUUACCAAAAACAUAGGUUUCUGCUAAGUCGCAAGACGAUGUAUAGGAGCUGACGCCUGCCCGGUGCUGGAAGGUUAAGGGGAUCUGUUAGAGCAAUCGAAGCAGUGAACUUAAGCCCCAGUAAACGGCGGCCGUAACUAUAACGGUCCUAAGGUAGCGAAAUUCCUUGUCGGGUAAGUUCCGACCCGCACGAAAGGCGUAACGAUUUGGGCACUGUCUCAACAACAGACUCGGUGAAAUUGUAAUUCCGGUGAAGAUGCCGGAUACCUGCGACAGGACGGAAAGACCCCAUGGAGCUUUACUGUAGCUUGACAUUGGGUCUUGGUACUACAUGUACAGGAUAGGUGGGAGGCUUUGAAACCAGGACGCCAGUUUUGGCGGAGCCAUCCUUGGGAUACCACCCUUGUAGUACUGGGACUCUAACCAUAGGCCAUGAAUCUGGUCUUGGGACACUGUCAGGUGGGCAGUUUGACUGGGGCGGUCGCCUCCCAAAAGGUAACGGAGGCGCUCAAAGGUUCUCUCAGUACGGUCGGAAAUCGUACGUAGAGUGUAAAGGCAAAAGAGAGCUUGAUUGCAAGACAUACAGGUCGAGCAAGGAUGAAAAUCGGACUUAGUGAUCCGGUGGUUCUGCGUGGAAGGGCCAUCGCUCAACGGAUAAAAGCUACCCUGGGGAUAACAGGCUUAUCUCCCCCAAGAGUCCACAUCGACGGGGAGGUUUGGCACCUCGAUGUCGGCUCAUCACAUCCUGGGGCUGUAGUAGGUCCCAAGGGUUGGGCUGUUCGCCCAUUAAAGUGGUACGCGAGCUGGGUUCAGAACGUCGUGAGACAGUUCGGUCCCUAUCCGUCGCAGGCGUAGGAAAUUUGAGAAGACCUGUCCUUAGUACGAGAGGACCGGGAUGGACGUACCUCUGGUGUACCAGUUGUCCUGCCAAGGGCAUGGCUGGGUAGCUAUGUACGGAAUGGAUAAGCGCUGAAAGCAUCUAAGCGCGAAGCCAACUUCAAGAUAAGAUUUCCCACCGCAAGGGUAAGACCCCAGAAAGACUAUCUGGUUGAUAGGUCGAAGGUGUAAGUGCAGCAAUGUAUUUAGCUUAUCGAUACUAAUAGGUCGAGGACUUGACC